UUUUGCGUGAAUGAUCGUACGAUCGGUAAGGCGAGUCCUCGUCGUAUCGUUCCCUUCUUAUCGGCAUCACGUUUGGUGAUUGAUCCACAAACUCAUCCUCAUACGAAUCAUCAUAUCUAUUGCCUGGGAUAUGAGGUGUUUUGUAAGGCGCUUCGUAAUCGUCGACGGAAUCAUCGGUAGUUGUGUGGUGUCCCGACGUUGUAGGUACAGUUUCGUCAUCGCUGCUCGGCAAUGCGCUCACGGGCUUCCUAUUAGCCACCCGGCUACGCUCUGCUCUGCUGAGAAGAUCGGAGACAACCAUGGAGCUGGUAUCACUCCUCGUACGACGGAGAACCGGUGGUGGUGGUGGUGGUGGUGGCCUGGAGACUACGGAUUGGUUCUGCUUUGAAGACGGAGAUUGCGGGUUCUUGGAGCUUCCUUUGGCGCUGUUAAGAUGCAGAUUCUGCAAAUGCGGAUCGUCUUCACCGAGCAAGUCUCUGUAACCAACAGCAGAUGAAUCCAUGUUGGUGUAAAGAGGCAAACUUCGCAUAGACCCGUCAAGGAUUCCGACGCCGAUGUUGAGGAUCCCUUGAGGACGGCCUGACGGUCGGCGAACUUGGAGGGCUACGAAGCGCAUUCCGGGAGGGGGAGUAUGGCGGUACUCGUCGUUGGUUCGGUAUCCAGGUCGGACAACAACUUCACUUCCUCUUCAUCACUCCCUUCUAGAUUCAGCAAUCUCAACAAAUUAGAGGUUUUGUCUCUUUCCUCUAACGGCUUCCAAGGUCAAGUUCCUUCCUCUUUUAGUAACCUAACCAAGUUAACCCAGUUUGAUCUCUCGCAUAACGACCUCACUGGUGGUUUCCAACUAGUCCAGAACCUCACCAAGCUUUCCAUGUUAGACCUUUCCUACAAUCACUUCUCUGGAACCAUCCCUUCUUCUUUGCUGCUCACUCUACCUCUCUUGUCACAUCUCGAUCUCCGCGGAAACUAUCUCACUGGCUCCAUUGAAGUUCCCUCCUCGCCGUCAUCGAGGCUUGAGCACUUGUUCCUUGGACAUAACCAUUUCGACGGACAAAUACUAGAGCCUAUCUCAAAGUUAACAACCCUCAGAGAACUUGUUCUCUCUUUCAUAAACGUUAGCUACCCUAUUGACUUGAGAGACUUCUCCUCUCUCAAAUCUUUGCUGAACCUUGAGCUUUCCGGUAAUAUCUUAUCGGCCACAACAAGUCUGAUAUCAGGUUCUGAUGUUCCACCAAAUCUUUACCGGUUGAUGAUGAAGGGCUGCAACAUCAACGAGUUCCCUAAGUUUCUCAAGACCUUACAGAACCUAGAGCGUUUAGACCUUUCCGACAAUCAGAUCAAAGGGAAAGUUCCAGAGUGGUUAUGGAGUCUUCCCCGGUUGAGCAUAGUGAGUCUAAACAACAACUCAUUCAACGAUUUUGAUGGUUCUCUUCACAAGUCAUCAGUUACAAUGCUAGAUCUUAGUUUCAACAACUUCACAGGAUCCCUUCCUGAUCCACCACUCUCUAUAAAACUCUUCUUGGCAUCAAGAAAUAGUUUCACAGGAAACAUACCUCUUUCAACUUGCGACCGAAGCUACCUAGAUGCUCUUGACCUAUCCUACAACAACUUCAGCGGCGCAAUUCCUCAGUGUCUUAGUAAGUUCAAAAUACUCAAUCUCAGGAAAAACAACUUGCAUGGAAUCAUUCCCAAUGCAUUCUCUAGCAGCUCUCCUCUACAAACACUUGAUGUUGGAUACAAUCGAAUACGCGGACAGCUUCCUAGGUCUCUUGUGAAUUGUUCUUCUCUAAGGUUUCUGAGUGUGGAUCACAACAAUAUAAAGGACUUAUUCCCUUUCUGGCUUAAGGUUUUACCGGAUUUGCAAGUCCUCACCCUAAGUUCAAACACAUUGCAUGGUCCUAUAUCUCCUCCUCAAGGACCUUUAGGGUUUCCUGAGCUGCGGAUACUUGAUCUAUCAGACAACAAGUUUACAGGAAGUUUGUCUCCAGAUUACUUUGUGAACUGGAGUGGAUCAUCAUCAAACAAGAUGUAUGGAGAUGGAGAGAUGUAUAUGGGAGACUAUACAAAUGAUCUCUACAGCUAUUUUUAUGGUUUGGACUUGCAAUACAAAGGUCUUAAUAUGGAGAAUAAAAUGGUAAAUACUUUCUAUACAGCUAUUGAUUUCUCUGGAAACAAUUUUAGUGGACAGAUUCCAGAAUCUAUUGGUUUCUUGACGGCACUCAUUGCUCUAAACCUAUCCAACAACUCUUUCACCGGCCACAUCCCUAUGUCUUUUGCGAAUCUUACAGGACUAGAGUCACUAGACCUGUCUCAAAACAAACUCUCGGGGGAGAUUCCUCAACAACUUGGUGCCCUCUCGUUUUUGGCCUACAUAAAUGUCUCUUACAACCAACUCAAGGGUGAGAUACCAAAAGGGACACAGAUUAGUGGGCAGCCUGAAUCUUCCUUUGAGGGGAAUGCAGGGCUUUGUGGUAUUCCUCUCCAGGAAAGUUGCUUUGGGACUAGUGAGCCACCAACACAAUGGGAAAAGCAAGUAGAUGAUGAAGAGGAAGGAGAGGUGUUGAACUGGAGAGGAGUAGCAAUAGGGUAUUGGCCUGGAUUGUUGUUUGGAUUGGCAAUAGGACAUGUUAUUGCUUUAAACAAGCCGAGUGGCUAGUGCUUAUAAUUGGUUUGAAUAAGAGCAUAAACCGUUAGGGUUGUUUUGUUCUUGCGUCUGAUAUUUGGAUUUUCUUGCCAAGUAGUUUCAUGUGUUUCAUAUCCAAGACACUCUAUGCAACAACUAAUCAAGACACUAUAUGAGAAAAGAUAAUACUUCUAUAUAUUGUUUAUGCAUAUCUCAACUAAUCAAACUUCUAUAAUCGAUCCAAUGUAUUAUGUACCGUAAAUUGUGUGUUGUCUCUUGAGAAUAUGCAUGCAGCAACUUGAGAGGAUCAAUAUCAUUUGAAAUCAUAAGGAAAAGACAAAAGGAGAUUCAUGAUAAUGCUAUUUGUAAUCAAACGUUCAGUAUAAAAUGAUGGAGCUGAUUUCACGCUUGUACACUGAUAAAGUACAAACGUUUGAAUCGUAACAUUGCAGAUUAUGUAACACACCAACACUUGUUGAAUAUUCAGGAUUCUUUUAAUAUCUGGUAUCUGUAUUACAGGGUUUGACCAGAUAAUUCACAAACCCCAAAAAACUUAAAAGAAUAUUAAUCGGUUUUAAAAACGAAAAUGUAAAAAAUAAUCACACAUAACUCAAAUUAUCAGCAGAGGCCAAGCGCGGCAAACGCUUUGACCCACCUUUCUUUUUCGACCCGUCAUGAUCCGACCCGCCUCCACACACGAAAGUACAUUCCGCGCCACAAAUAUUACUAAAACACGAGAAAAGACCGUUUCCUCCUUCCGUGUGACGGCGCUGAUGCUUCUUCUUCUUCUUCACCGUCGGAGUUUUCCGCCUCGAGCUCUUCCCUCCGCCUGCAUUCGCCGACGCCGGAACAAUCGCGCUACCUACAUCGCUGCUCUGGUGACUCGAUCCGAGAUCGUAAAGCGGCGGAAGCUCCGUCCGCCACCGCUCGAGUUUCGAUCGAAGACCUUCAAUGUUGCUAUCGUCGUCGAGGCUCCAUUCGCUGAGGAUCGAACUCUCAGUGUCGUUGGCUUGCGAUCUCUCCUUCGCCAUCUUGUUCGCUACUUCCGAAGGCGACGGACCUAACUCAGAUUCGGUUAAAAUCAAUCGCCCCGCCAAAUUAGAUCUCAUCGGCGUACCGAACCGUAGAGGCGAUUUCAUCGGCGUUCCCUUGUAGGUAGAUCGAAUCGGAGUCGAUCCGAUUAUAUUAGAUCGUAACGGAGUCGAUCCAACGAGGUUGUUAGAUCUCAUAGGAGUCGAUGAUCGCAUAGGACUAGAUGCAACCAUGUUAGAUCUCAUCGGAGUCAAUCGCAUAGGACUAGAUGCAACGAUGUUAGAUCUGAUCGGAGUAGACGCGACGAUGUUCGAUCGCAACGGCGUCCCGUGCCUCGAUAAGUACGGAGAAGCGCGGUUGCUGCGGUCGUAGUCCCUCGGCGGCCUUGGCUUCUCGAUCACCGGCGUCGAUCUCCUCGGCGUUUUGCGUGAAUGAUCGUACGAUCGGUAAGGCGAGUCCUCGUCGUAUCGUUCCCUUCUUAUCGGCAUCACGUUUGGUGAUUGAUCCACAAACUCAUCCUCAUACGAAUCAUCAUAUCUAUUGCCUGGGAUAUGAGGUGUUUUGUAAGGCGCUUCGUAAUCGUCGACGGAAUCAUCGGUAGUUGUGUGGUGUCCCGACGUUGUAGGUACAGUUUCGUCAUCGCUGCUCGGCAAUGCGCUCACGGGCUUCCUAUUAGCCACCCGGCUACGCUCUGCUCUGCUGAGAAGAUCGGAGACAACCAUGGAGCUGGUAUCACUCCUCGUACGACGGAGAACCGGUGG
rnacentral:lncRNA from 1 species